GGAGAGGUGGCAGAGUGGUCGAAUGCGACGGUCUCGAAAACCGUUAUCCGCCUUAGGCGGAUCGAGAGUUCGAAUCUCUCCCUCUCCG
rnacentral:tRNA from 1 species